rnacentral:rRNA from 1 species
AUAGCUUUAGGGCUAGCCUCAGAGUGAGAUACGCGGGGGUAGAGCACUGAAUGUUCUAGGGGCCUUCACCGGUUACCGAAAACUAUCAAACUCCGAAUACCGUAGUAUCAUACUUGGGAGUCAGACUACGAGUGAUAAGAUCCGUGGUCAAAAGGGAAACAGCCCAGACCUACAGCUAAGGUCCCCAAAUGUAGAUUAAGUGGAAAAGGAUGUGGAGCUGCAUAGACAACUAGGAUGUUGGCUUAGAAGCAGCCACUCAUUUAAAGAGUGCGUAAUAGCUCACUAGUCGAGUGACUCUGCGCCGAAGAUAAACGGGGCUGAAAUCUACUACCGAAGCUUAGGAAUUACGUUUAGUAAUUGGUAGAGGAGCAUCGUAUACGGGCAGAAGCUGUGCUGUAAGGCAUGGUGGACUUUAUACGAGAGAGAAUGUUGGCAUGAGUAGCGUAAGGCAGGUGAGAAUCCUGUCCGCCGAAAAUCUAAGGUUUCCUGAGGAAGGUUCGUCCACUCAGGGUUAGUCGGGGCCUAAGCCGAGAGCGAGCGCUGUAGGCGAUGGACAACAGGUUGAUAUUCCUGUACCACCGAAAGUCGUUUGAGCGAAGUGGGGACACAGAAGGAUAGGUUGAGCACGCUGUUGGUAAUGCGUGUCUAAGCGUCAAGGGAGUUAAGAUAGGCAAAUCCGUUUUAACAAUUCUGAGGCGUGAUGGGGUGGCCGUAAGGCUGGAAGCAACUGAUUUCACACUGUCAAGAAAAGCCGCUAGCAAGACCGUAGGUGCCCGUACCGCAAACCGACACAGGUAGAUGAGGAGAGAAUCCUAAGGUGAGCGAGAGAACUAUUGUUAAGGAACUCGGCAAAAUAACCCCGUAACUUCGGGAGAAGGGGUGCUCCGGAAACGGAGCCGCAGUGAAAAGUCCCAGGCGACUGUUUACCAAAAACACAGGUCUCUGCUAAAGCGAAAGCUGAAGUAUAGGGGCUGACGCCUGCCCGGUGCUGGAAGGUUAAGGGGAUGUGUUAGUGAAAGCGAAGCACUGAACUUAAGCCCCAGUAAACGGCGGCCGUAACUAUAACGGUCCUAAGGUAGCGAAAUUCCUUGUCGGGUAAGUUCCGACCCGCACGAAAGGCGUAACGAUCUGGGAACUGUCUCAACAAUAGACUCGGUGAAAUUGUAGUACCGGUAAAGAUGCCGGUUACCCGCAGCAGGACGGAAAGACCCCAUGGAGCUUUACUGUAGCUUGAUAUUGAGUUUCGGCGUUGCAUGUACAGGAUAGGUGGGAGACUAUGAGGUAAGUACGCCAGUAUUUACGGAGUCACCGUUGGGAUACCACCCUUGUAACGUUGAAGUUCUAACGGCGUGCCGUGAUCCGGCAUCCGGACAGUGUCAGGUGGGCAGUUUGACUGGGGCGGUCGCCUCCUAAAGAGUAACGGAGGCGCCCAAAGGUUCCCUCAGCGCGGCCGGAAAUCGCGCGAA